rnacentral:rRNA from 1 species
GACGAACGCUGGCGGCGUGCUUAACACAUGCAAGUCGAACGGAAAGGCCCUGCUUUUGCGGGGUGCUCGAGUGGCGAACGGGUGAGUAACACGUGUGUAACCUGCCCUUGACUUAGGGAUAUCUUUACGAAACUGGGGCUAAUACCGGAUAGGAGCUCCUGCUGCAUGGGGGGCGUUGGAAAGUUUCGGCGGUUGGGGAUGGACUCGCGGCUUAUCAGCUUGUUGGUGGGGUUGUGGCUUACCAAGGCUCUGACGGGUAGCCGGCCUGGGAGGGUUACCGGCGACAUUGCGGCUGAGCUACGGCACAGACUACAACCGUAGGCAAGGGUGGAGAAGAUUACACAGUAGGCGGGAGGCAGGUGUGACAACGCCACGUGCGGGAAGACGGGAUUCGGGUAGUGAACCGAUUUCGCCUGUGACGAGGAGUGAGUGACGGUAAUGGGUAAAGAAGCACCGGCUAACUACGUG